rnacentral:misc_RNA from 1 species
AAGUGGCCUCCCUUGCCUUGGAUAGGUGCCCCCUUAUACAGAAGUGACCAAGGGCAGUUUUGUAAUUUUUUUAGAAUCUUGAACAGUGUCUGCCACUUACUUUUUCACGUGGGAACAGUACUUGAACAGUGUCUUUAACAGUCCUUCCGCAUGAAGCAUCUAUUGCAGGGUGCAGAUUCCAUUGGCUCAUUUCCUCCAAAUAUGGAACUUAUCUUGCAUUGUUUUAUAUUCAGGAACCCUCUUCUCUAUGCCCCACACUCCAAAUCUAUAUGAGAAUAAAAAGCCUUUUAAUCAUCUUCUCCAUUCUGAUAUAACAAAAAAAGGGCAGCUUUUAAGAUCUUGUCCAAAACCUUCCAAAAAAUGAUAGGAGUCGUCUGGCUUGCAAAACUUGCAUUAUCUUAUCCCAUAGGAUUGCAAAUCUUUCAAGAUCCUUCAAGAAGAAUUUUGAAGAUGAAAUUCACAAUACUUCCAAACAAAUUCAAAAUACAUGGACAGAGAAUCUGAAAAGUAGCAAAGAUUGGCCAGUGGAGAGUGUCAAAUCACAAAGCUUGCUCCUCAAGCUAGUGUAAUUUAUGCAAAACCACCAAAUGACAAGUUCAAUCAUAUGAUCGAAUAACAAAAAAAGACAAGUAGGUUUUAAAGAUGUAGGAAAUAACCAGACUUGUCUUUUUAAAUAAGGAAUGACAAUAGUAGGAGCUCAGUGAUCAGAUUCUUAGUGUCUCCUUUUUGUCUUCCACACUGUUUCACUAGCUACUAGCUAGUACAAAUGACAUACAUAAAUAAAAGGUACCUUUUGAGACAUUAAAUGGUCGGUGGGCUUGUAUAUUCACAAGACGUGGAUUCUGUUUCAAAAAUCCAAUAUCAGUUAUCAUGCCUUGCAUAGCAGCCUCUGUAACCAAUGCCAUACAUUUUUCUGGUUGGUUUGGUAAGACGCAAGAUCCCCAAACUUGAUUAUGUGUAUUUUUGGAAGUACAAUUCAUGGAGGAGCCAGAUAAAUACAUAGAAAACAGAUCUCAAUUUCAAAUAGACCUUGAUUAUGCAAAAAUACAUUAAUGGGAUCAGAACGGUCAAUUCAAUCAAAAAGUAAUGUCACAACAUCAUAAUGAUAAAUCAAAGGCUGAAGAACUGCCGACCCUGUCUAAGUCUUCUACCAAUCUUCUCUUUGCUGACUUAGUUCUGUAACACCAAACCUCAAAAGCUUCACUCAAGUCAGGAUACGUAACCUGGUCCGCAUUCAUCCAAUCAGCCAAAAUAUCGGCUUGGUCAUUUGAUGGCAAUGCUAAUAUCAAUGAGACAAUUGCCCCUUCAAUACUCUGGCACAAGUAUUCAUCCAUCUUGUAGGGAAAGCUUGAGUCCCCAUUACACUUUGAGUCUAAGAGAGGUUUCAUCUUCCUUAUAUAAGGCAGCCACAUACUUAGUAGCUGCACCCUGUAAGUUGGCGCAAGAAUCACAUUUCCAUAGCCAACUGCUUCCAAUACCUUUGCAGUCACUUCAAUCAUCUUUAAUUUCAAACCCCACAUUACAUAAUCAAGUUUCUUGUCUUCAAUUAUCCCCAAAACUUUGCCAGAGAUGUCAGCCCAGUUUAUAACAAAAUCCUUCAUUAAAUCCAACUUGGGAAGUAUGUUACACAUCCACUGAAGAUCAGCUACACUCUGUAAUAUUUUGGCUUCUGCUGUCUCAGAUAUGAGGUCAGAUUCCAAAAGCAGGGAGGACAGCUGCUUUUCAAAUGAAGAAAAGACUUUGCUAAGGCCUACUUUCACUACUGAUUUUACUUCAUCAUCAGCUCUAACCAGGGGCAUGUCCUCAUCUUCCCCUAACAUAUAUUCAACUUGUUCCUGGGCAGAAAUUUUAAGUUCAUCACCAAAUGGAGGACAUGAUCCACCAAUAGAUGUGGCAAAACGAACUGCUGAAACAAAAACAUUUUUUGUAGCGCUUAAAUCUACUUGUUGGAUCCUGGCUAUAAUGGGCAUAGCUAUUGGACCCAGUUUUGAGACCAUUUUCAAGAUUUCUUCCUCUUCCUUGUCCUCCCAAGGAACGGCCUCUAGGUACUGGAUGCAGCUUUUUGUGAUCUCUUCACAGCUGAAUGCAACUGAAACUUCAAGUAUACCAACAGUGGACUUGACAGAGUCCAAAGAGUCCAAAAGCGAAUCCACAGGGAGAUACAGCAAUCUCAAUAAGUUAACAUGAUGAUCAUAAUUAAAAGCUGAGCAAUGAAGCUCCACACAUGUACCAGAGUCCGGAUUAGAGAGCAAAUCAGCAAAGAACUUGCUCUUAUUAACUAGUACAGAAGAGUGUAAAUAGAAAAUUUCAGGUCUUCCAUUACAAUUUCUCAAGCGUAUGAUUAUAUCACUAGUGCUCUGGUCUCCAAAUCUGCAAGGUUUUUCUACUCCAGUUUUGUCCAUGUGUGAGUAGGAAUACAAAAUUCAUGCUUCAUGCAUUUAAAUGGAUAAAAAAUCCAAAUUGUGGCAACUGAAAAGAAAAUGAAGAUCAUAGUGAACAAAUAAUUAGAUUGAGAUAGCAUUAUACAUAUUCCAAAUGAGAAGGACAACUACAAAUCAUUCAAAAACAUGGAUUUGAAAUGAGCAAAAAUAUUAGAAAUUAAAAAGAUAACAUCAGAGAAUGCAAUUUUUUCCUCAACAAAAGCUUAUACUAAGACCAGAAAAUCAGUACUAAUAAGCAUAAAAGCACCAAAUUUCUAUAUCAGCAGUGGUACAAACAACUGUCUAGAUUAUUCUAAUGAUACUAUUUCCCAUAUUAGCCAAAUGUAUAAAUGCAUAUCCAAAAAGAAUAUUGCAUCAAUAAAGAAGACCUUAAAGCUUAUUACAAAUCAUACAGAACAGAUUACCAGAAAAUACUACUACCCACGAUCAGAUCUUGGAUAGUUAGCAUACUGGAACACCCAAAUCAACUUCAGGCCAAUAAAUAUAAUUAGCAGCGACAAGAAGAAAAUCAAAGAUAAUAAAAAAGAACAGCAGAAAAAAUUGCAUAAACUUAAGAAUUAUACAGAGAGGAAUAGGGUUUACAUAAAUGGGAGAUUUCCAAUUGGAGACUAGCGUGGGAUGCUGUAGUUUCGACAUUGCAAAACAGGGAAUUCUUCUCCAAGUAGAUACUGGCAACACAUUAGGGCUAUGAAAUUAUCGAUGAAGGUUU